CACGUAGGGGCCAAGCGUUGUCCGGAUUCAUUGGGCGUAAAGAGCUCGUAGGCGGUUCAGUUAGUCGGGUGUGAAAUCUCCGGGCUCAACCCGGAGGGGCCACCCGAUACUGCUGUGACUUGAGUCCGGUAGGGGAGUGGGGAAUUCCUGGUGUAGCGGUGAAAUGCGCAGAUAUCAGGAGGAACACCGGUGGCGAAGGCGGCUCACUGGCCCGGUACUGACGCUGAGGUGCGAAAGCGUGGGGAGCAAACAGG
rnacentral:rRNA from 1 species